UGGGGAAUUUUGGACAAUGGGGGCAACCCUGAUCCAGCCAUUCCGCGUGAGUGAAGAAGGCCUUCGGGUUGUAAAGCUCUUUCAGCAGGAACGAAACGGUCGGCUUUAAUAAAGUCGGCUAAUGACGGUACCUGCAGAAGAAGCACCGGCUAACUACGUGCCAGCAGCCGCGGUAAUACGUAGGGUGCGAGCGUUAAUCGGAAUUACUGGGCGUAAAGCGUGCGCAGGCGGCGACAUAAGACAGAUGUGAAAUCCCCGGGCUCAACCUGGGAACUGCGUUUGUGACUGUGUUGCUAGAGUGUAGCAGAGGGGGUGGAAUUCCACGUGUAGCAGUGAAAUGCGUAGAGAUGUGGAGGAACACCGAUGGCGAAGGCAGCCCCCUGGGCCAACACUGACGCUCAGGCACGAAAGCGUGGGGAGCAAACAGGAUUAGAUACCCAAGUAGUCCCUGAGCGGGCUGGCAAGGCGCAU
rnacentral:rRNA from 1 species